GCCCUCGUAGUUCAAUGGAUAGAACACCAACCUUCUAAGUUGGAUAUAUAGGUUCGAUUCCUAUCGAGGGCACAA
rnacentral:tRNA from 3 species